rnacentral:rRNA from 1 species
CCUACGGGUGGCAGCAGUGAGGAAUAUUGGUCAAUGGACUAGAGUCUGAACCAGCCAAGUCGCGUGAAGGAUGACUGCCCUAUGGGUUGUAAACUUCUUUUAUAUGGGAAUAAAAUGUUCCACGUGUGGGAUUUUGUAUGUACCAUAUGAAUAAGGAUCGGCUAACUCCGUUCCAGCAGCCGCGGGAAUACGGAGGAUCCGAGCUUUAGCCGGAUUUAUUGGGUUUAAAGGGAGCGUAGGUGGAUAGUUAAGUCAGUUGUGAAAGUUUGCGGCUCAAAAGUAAAAUUGCAGUUGAAACUGGCAGUGUUGAGUACAGUAGAGGUGGGCGGAAUUCGUGGUGUAGCGGUGAAAUGCUUAGAUAUCACGAAGAACUCCGAUUGCGAAGGCAGCUCACUGGCCUGCAACUGACACUGAGGCUCGAAAGUGUGGGUAUCAAACAGGAGUAGAUACCCGGGUAGUC